GAUGGACUGGGUCGAGCAGAGGAGUCAUCUGAUUCACCGUACAGGACAGCGUCCAGCCUUCACGCCGGGACGUCCUCCAGGGACGCCGUCGGGAGUCACAGGCUUCAGGAAGCAAAACUAAAUCAAGGGACUAAGGAUGAGUGAAGAUAAAAGUGAAAGAGUCGGGAGUUCCUGGGCUACAGGUCAAAUCGGAGCUGCACCUGCCGGCUACACCACAGCC
rnacentral:lncRNA from 1 species